rnacentral:rRNA from 1 species
AGUUUGAUCCUGGCUCAGAACGAACGCUGGCGGCAUGCCUAACACAUGCAAGUCGAACGAGACCUUCGGGUCUAGUGGCGCACGGGUGCGUAACGCGUGGGAAUCUGCCCUUGGGUUCGGAAUAACUUCGGGAAACUGAAGCUAAUACCGGAUGAUGACGUAAGUCCAAAGAUUUAUCGCCCAAGGAUGAGCCCGCGUAGGAUUAGCUAGUUGGUGAGGUAAAGGCUCACCAAGGCGACGAUCCUUAGCUGGUCUGAGAGGAUGAUCAGCCACACUGGGACUGAGACACGGCCCAGACUCCUACGGGAGGCAGCAGUGGGGAAUAUUGGACAAUGGGCGAAAGCCUGAUCCAGCAAUGCCGCGUGAGUGAUGAGGGCCUUAGGGUUGUAAAGCUCUUUUACCCGGGAUGAUAAUGACAGUACCGGGAGAAUAAGCUCCGGCUAACUCCGUG